rnacentral:rRNA from 1 species
AACGAACGCUGGCGGCAUGCCUAACACAUGCAAGUCGAACGAGACCUUCGGGUCUAGUGGCGCACGGGUGCGUAACGCGUGGGAACCUGCCCUUAGGUUCGGAAUAACUCCCCGAAAGGGGUGCUAAUACCGGAUAAUGUCUUCGGACCAAAGAUUUAUCGCCUUUGGAUGGGCCCGCGUUGGAUUAGCUUGUUGGUAGGGUAAAAGCCUACCAAGGCGACGAUCCAUAGCUGGUCUGAGAGGAUGAUCAGCAACACUGGGACUGAGACACGGCCCAGACUCCUACGGGAGGCAGCAGUGGGGAAUAUUGGACAAUGGGCGAAAGCCUGAUCCAGCAAUGCCGCGUGAGUGAUGAAGGCCUUAGGGUUGUAAAGCUCUUUUACCCGGGAUGAUAAUGACAGUACCGGGAGAAUAAGCUCCGGCUAACUCCGU